rnacentral:sRNA from 1 species
AAUAAUUUACACAUAUUUAAGCAAUAGCCACUUGUAGUCUGAUUAUUCGAGUAUAUUGAUCUAUCUUUAUUACUUGAGUUUCAAAUUGUAUGUACCUCCUAGAUGGGUCUUAAAACCUACUGACCAAGAUGCAAUACUUGGUAAUUUAGUAAUAAUGUCAUGUACUGCUGAUGGGUUUCCCGAGCCUACAGUUCAAUGGAAGCAAUCUAUCGGAGACUCUGGGGAGUAUCGCGAACUGAAUUAUGGAGUUAGCAAUGGAAACUCACACUCUGUUAUAAGAGACUCACCCCAAUGGUUCGCUUAUUAUAUCAAAGGGGCCGGA